UACGUAGGGUGCAAGCGUUGUCCGGAAUUAUUGGGCGUAAAGAGCUCGUAGGCGGCUUGUCACGUCGACUGUGAAAACCCGGGGCUCAACUCCGGGCCUGCAGUCGAUACGGGCUGGCUUGAGUGCGGUAGGGGAGACUGGAAUUCCUGGUGUAGCGGUGAAAUGCGCAGAUAUCAGGAGGAACACCGGUGGCGAAGGCGGGUCUCUGGGCCUAACUGACGCUGAGGAGCGAAAAGCGUGGGGGAGC
rnacentral:rRNA from 1 species